rnacentral:rRNA from 1 species
UAGAGUUUGAUCCUGGCUCAGAUUGAACGCUGGCGGCAUGCUUUACACAUGCAAGUCGAACGGCAGCACGAGUGCUUGCACUUGGUGGCGAGUGGCGAACGGGUGAGUAAUGCAUCGGAACGUAUCCUAAAGUGGGGGAUAACGCAUUGAAAGAUGUGCUAAUACCGCAUAAUCUUCGAGAAGAAAAGCAGGGGAUCGUAAGACCUUGUGCUUUAGGAGUGGCCGAUGUCUGAUUAGCUAGUUGGUAAGGUAAAAGCUUACCAAGGCGACGAUCAGUAGCUGGUCUGAGAGGACGAUCAGCCACACUGGGACUGAGACACGGCCCAGACUCCUACGGGAGGCAGCAGUGGGGAAUUUUGGACAAUGGGCGAAAGCCUGAUCCAGCAAUGCCGCGUGAGUGAAGAAGGCCUUCGGGUUGUAAAGCUCUUUCAAUCGAGAAGAAAAGGCUGGGCAUAAUAAGCAUAGUUA